UCCGGUACCCAAAACUUUGCCAUUAAAGUCCCCGUCUAUAUAUUGUAAGAGGGAACUGGGUUAUAACAUUCGGUGUAACAAAUGGGCAUGGAAUUUUAAUUAUUUUUAUUUAUUAUCUAGAAAUAUCAAAAAUACAUUCAAGAUUAAAUGUUAUAUAUGUAUAUGAUGUUCUUAUUUCUUUAUUGAAGGCCGAGUAUGGACUAAAUCUUUAC
rnacentral:lncRNA from 1 species